rnacentral:rRNA from 1 species
GCAGCCGCGGUAAUUCCAGCUCCAAUAGCGUAUAUUAAAGUUGUUGCAGUUAAAAAGCUCGUAGUUGAAUUUCGGGAUUGACAUGUUGGUCGUGCCUUAAGGGGUAUGAACUGGCAUUGUCGAUUUCUCACCUUCUGGAGAAUCACGAUGCUCUUAAUUGGGUGUCGUGUGGAUCCAGGACCUUUACCUUGAAAAAAUUAGAGUGUUUAAAGCAGGCAUUUUGCUCGAAUACAUUAGCAUGGAAUAAUAAAAUAGGACGGCUUGGUUCUAUUUUGUUGGUUUCUAGGAUCACCGUAAUGAUUAAUAGGGAUAGUUGGGGGCAUUAGUAUUCAAUUGUCAGAGGUGAAAUUCUUGGAUUUAUUGAAGACUAACUACUGCGAAAGCAUUUGCCAAGGAUGUUUUCAUUAAUCAAGAACGAAAGUUAGGGGAUCGAAGACGAUCAGAUACCGUCGUAGUCUUAACCAUAAACUAUGCCGACUAGGAAUCAGACGAUGUUAAUUUUUUAAUGACUCGUUUGGCACCUUACGGG